UUGCCCAUUUAAGACUUUGUGUCCUAAAUGACUAACACAGGGGGGUAGAUGAAGUCUUUCAAAAACCUAAAGCAAAGGCUGACUCAGUUCCUUGCUUUGGAUCCUGUCGGAAGAUACACAG